rnacentral:rRNA from 1 species
UACGUAGGGCGCAAGCGUUGUCCGGAAUUAUUGGGCGUAAAGAGCUCGUAGGCGGCCUGUUACGUCUGCUGUGAAAUCCCGGGGCUCAACCCCGGGCGUGCAGUGGAUACGGGCUGGCUGGAGGCAGGCAGGGGAGAACGGAAUUCCUGGUGUAGCGGUGAAAUGCGCAGAUAUCAGGAGGAACACCGGUGGCGAAGGCGGUUCUCUGGGCCUGUACUGACGCUGAGGAGCGAAAGCGUGGGGAGCGAACAGG